CGCCCCGGGUGGGGAAAAAGGGAAAGGAGGUCAUGGUAGAGUUUUUGGAUGCUGUCAUGGAAGAAGCUUUGAAAAUGCAGGUGGCUGAGGCCUGGAGCUGCAGGACACCGUUCAGUCAUUGUCAUGGAGAUGGACCCCUUUCUUCACUGCAUGAUCUCAAACUUCAUCUAAAGCCUACUUCUUAGAAGGGCUUCAGAAGAAACUUAGGAACUUGGGACUUCCAUGAGAAGUAUAAUGAUUUAUGUAAGUUGCAGCAGAAGAGGGCCUCACAUCUCUGCUUUAAGGAAAAUUCUGUUUGAAAAUUUCCAGUCCUGGCUUUCUGUUAUUUCUAAAAUUUACCUGGAAUCAACCAUUGAUGUGUCCUGUGCCAAAUAUGAAUUCAUUGAUGCCCUGCUGUGCCAUGAUGGUGAGCUGGAAGGGCGCUGGAUUGCCUUUAUCCUGUACCUGGUUCAUUCCUGGAACAGGAGCCUGGGGGGUACCCUGGACCAGUACAACACUGAUGAACACUUUCAGCUGAAGCAGACUGUCAAAUCUCUUACCCCUUCAUAGAACAAACCGGUUUUCUUUGAAGUAUCUGCAGUGUCCUUUCACCAGGUUUCUGAAGUCCUGUCUGAAGAAUAGUCAUGUUUGUCUACAAGCGGCCAGUUUCAUGGUCCUUCAUUGACUAGGCCUCCCAGCUACUUUGAACCCCUCAUACCUUGGAGCCCUCAUAUCCCACAAGAUCAUGAAAUCUUUCUUUGUAUGAUUGAAUCAAACUUAUCUGGAUAUGGAUUACCAAGUUCAAACUCAAGAAGAGUUUGAAGAAAGUUCUGAAAUUCUCCUGAAGGAAUUUCUUAAGCCUGAUAAAUUUGUAAAGGUCUGUGAGGCCUUGGAGAACGGAGAUGUGGAAUGGAGCAGCCGAGACCCCCCCAACAACAGGUUUUAUGAGAAAGCUGAGGAAGUAAGCUUUCCAGUAUAUUGAAGGAGUGCAUGAAGGUAUUUUGCUCUGAGGCACUGUUCUUGCUGCUCUCCAACUUCACAGGCCUGACGCUUCACUUAUUGGCCCCUUUGAAAGAUGAGACAGAUGACAAAAAAGAGGAAGUAGCAACUCUGCUGCCGAUAGAACUAAGGAAGGGACUGGCCAUAGCCCUCCUGAGCCAGAGAAUAAUCAGGUAGCCAUCAGCAACAACAGUCAACAGUGAUGACCAGACAGACUCAGAGCCACAGGAAAAUGAAACAAAGAAUUCCCACAUGCCAAAGGGAACUGAGGCACUGGAAGACUAGUCACGUACUUUAAUUUGUGACCAUAGCAAGGCUGAUUUUGCCCUAGACUUAAUUCUCCACUAUGGCUGUGAAGGCUGGGAGCCAGAAUAUGGUGGUUUUACUUCUUACAUUGCCAAAGAUGAAGAGCUGCUAAUGGUGAAUUCAAAAAGCAAUUCUUGGCUUGGUCUGCAGAGAAAGACUGAAAUUUGUCAAGCAUAUUAACCAUCGAAGCGUGGAACAGAAGAAAACCUUCCCAAAUAUAACAGGCUUCUGGGACUUUUCAUUCAUCUGUUAUGAAUGACAGCAAUGGGCAAAGCUGAACAAAAAUGUGAUCCUUCAUCAUUACUGGGAAGGCUGCAAGAGCUAAGCAUGGAGUAAAGGAGAGCUACAUGGUAGCCUGCCUGACAGUGUUCUUAAAACUGGUUAUCCUUUAAUAGGACUUAGAAUGAUUGUCCUCAACCUAGACCUUGAGUUUGGAGCUAUGUACUUAUGUCUUGAUUUAAAAAAAAGUUGGCUUUUUUAAACAUUGAGUUCUUCUUCCAUAUUGGCUUCUUCAGGUAAUUUUUCAAUGAUCUUUUUUUAUUGUGGUAAAGUAUCUGUAACAUCAAAUUUGCUAGCUUACCUAUUAAAAAAAAAAAAAAAAAAAAAAAAAAAAGGCACUGAGUCCCUGCCCUGAGGAGGAAGUCCUUGGGAUGGAAAUUUUCAUGAGUUGCACAAAAAUCAAGUCACUAGGAUAAAACUUCUAAUUUCAUUAUUUACUGGACUUUAUAUAAUAAAUAUGCAUCCUCUCAUGUUGAAGAUUUGUAUACUGUUGGGAAAAAUGCUUUAAGCUCACUGAAAGGGGGGGACUGUAACAUUUCAUUUUCUUAAACAGGCAGUAAAUAAUGAAUGCAUAUGAAUACAAUAAACAUAUCUCAAAAAAGAAUGAUACAACUUUUAUUUUCCAUGGAUUUUAAAGAUGCUUUUGCUACACAGUUUACGUAUUUUUAUGAGAUUUUUUUUUCAUUUCUAUGAAGUUCAGCCUUAUACAAUUUUAAGGUGAUAUGUUUGGUAGUGUAUCUAUAAUCUUUAAAAAGUUUAGAGUUUUUGGAAUGUACAGUAUAUGAGGUAAAAUCAAGAUUACAUUAAAAAUUGUUUUCUCCUCUGCACUAAUUUUGCAGUGAGGCUCAAAUGGCAAGUAUACUAUUAAAUGACAUUUACUAUCAAAAAUAGGAGGUUCAUUUGAAUUACUAUGAAAAACAUAAGCCACUGUUAACUUGACACAGUGGCACAUUUUACCUUUUUAGACAUUCAACUAUAUAUAAAUCUCUGGGCUAUUACACUCAGACUCAUUUGUACUGCCAAAUGUGGCAAUUUAAAGAAGUUUCUAGAAAACAAUCGCAAUCACUGUUGUUUUGGGGGAAGGUUAUCACCCUAUACAUAAGAGAUUAAAUUUAAAUAAAAUGUAAACAUACAGUAUAUUAUAGUGACAGGUCAUUCUUACCACUUAGGCCAAGUUUAUCCAUUUCUUUUUUGAACAAGGGUUAAUGUUUUUCUACAGCACAGAUCAUUUGACAUAAAACAGUUACAAUACAUGCCCAUUCUAUUAUAAAAGAAAUUCUUCAGAGAUCUUCAAAGCACAAAACAUACGUUCUUUUUUCAAAGACUGACAGAAGUGCUUAAUAAUCACUAAAAUGCCAACUUCAGCAACUAAAAAUUAGUGAUUCACUAUCCUAAAAUUCGAAUAAUAAAUUAAAAAAGCUAGUUACAGGUGUUUUACAGAUAACAGAUGUGCUAAAACAAAGAAUUGUAGAUAGUUUCAUUAUAAACUGUAUUAUUACUGGCAGUCAUGGACAUCUAGGCAAGAAGUACAAUGUGACACUUGACAAAAUUCAGUCUGAUCAUCCAAAAGCUCACAAAUGCAAGCUCACAAAACAUUAAUGAAUUAUGCAAUUGCAAAGUGCUCUAAUGCAACAUUAACCACAUGCAACCAACAAUUUGGAACAGUAUCCAAACAGACAUUAUACAUUAAACGUUAGUUUUUAAGAAAGAAAGCAGCUUGAAGUUUACUGGUGCAAAUGAAUUUUGUCUUCAGAUUUGGUGCCCCAAACAAAAAGGUUAGGUUUGAUUAUGAAUUCUGAUGGUGGUGGCAGCAGUUAUGGGAGAAGCAGCAAAAACUUAUGGGAGUUCUUCAAAAUUAGCCUAUACCAGACGAAGUGAGUGUAUGUGUGUAAUAUGUAUCUCUACAUUGGUAUGUGUGUGUGUGUGUAUAUAUAUGCCAUUUAUGUACAUGUAUACACUUAUACAUGUACAUAUGGUUCAAAGGUUCACAAAACAGAGCCAGAUAGGUUUGAAAUUGUUUACUUUUAUGAUUACUUUUAAAAAAGUAUUUAAAAGCCCUCAGGUUCUUUUCUAUGUUCUCAAGACCUGAAGAGGAACUUUCUGAGUAAACAUCAAAAUAUUUUUAGGCCAAGUAAACUGUCUGUGCUUUCUUUAAGUACUUAUCUGUGAAUUCUGAAUAUAUAUUUAUAAUGAAGAACUCCACAUUUAUCAAAGCUUUUCUUCAUGCAUAUCCAGUUUUUGUUUCUAAGCCCCUCCAGCUACUCAUCAUAAUCCCACUUACCAAAUAAUUAAGACAAAUGAGGAGGUAGAAAUAUAGCACUAGAUUGCUUUCACAGCAUCAGACUUUAACAUUUAUAUAGCAUGUUAGUGUAAAUUCUAUUCAUUCUGAAUUUUUCACUUGGUAAUAAUCUUUAAAACAAACAGAUCAGGUUAUCACUGUUACACUCAUGCCGAUUGGUCAAAAUAUCCGUUCCUAAAUUGUUGUCUCUUAGAAAGUUUUUCUACAGAAGGCAUGUUAAAAAAAAAAAAAAAAAAAA